UUCAGAUCAAGUCGAUUCGAUCUGGGAGACUUAAAGUGGUUGCGAGGAAACGGGCGGGGGCUGGGAGGGAAAGGAAACCGACAAACAAGACCCCCGCGUUCAAAAAGGUUGGUUGCCCUGUGCCCCAGCUCUUGGGAACAAGAGGAUGAAGUCUGGGGGUUCUCCUCGCCUCGCUUGGGAUGGUCCGGCACAUCUGGUUAAUGACCCCUACGGAGACAUGGACCCCCAGGAGGGGAAAUCACUCCAAGUGCACACAACAAACCAGUGGAAGAACCAGGGAGAUGCUGCUCUCUUGACAAGUAGUACAUACUAGGUAUUGAUCAUACCCUUAAAGAUGUCAGAAGGCUGAAGAUAGACACUUCCUCUAAAGAAAGGAGUGAUCAGAUCAUUGUAAGGACUUCAGGGAUGCCUCCCUACUUUGCAAUGUUGGAAGACUGACUAGAUGUAUCACUAACAGAAAUACUUUUUGAGAAGUUCAGCCAUUUUGUUUAAGAGGGUGCAAUGAUGGAAAAGGCUCUUCAAAUCCAGAAAAAAAGAAAGAAACUGUGGAAUAUGGACGCUGAUUGGACUAUACUAUCUCUUUUG